rnacentral:lncRNA from 1 species
AACGACAAAGUAGAGAACAAGGACAAAGACGAGAACAACGACAACAGUGAAAACAACGAGAACAACAACAACAACAACGACGACGACGACAACAUCAACAACAACGACAACAGCGAUAGCAACAACAACAACAACAACAACAACAACAACNNNNNNNNNNUGACAACAACAAUGACAAGAACAACGAGAACAACGACAGGAACAACAAUAGCGACAACAACGACAACAACGACAUCAACGACAACAACAACAACAACAACAACAACAACAACAACA